AAGGGUAUAGCUCAAUGGUAGAGCGCAUUCCUAGCGUGCCCAAGGUCCUGGGUUCAAUCCCCAGUACCUCCA
rnacentral:tRNA from 1 species